rnacentral:rRNA from 1 species
GUGCCAGCAGCCGCGGUAAUACCGGCAGCUCAAGUGAUGUCCCAUAUUAUUGGGCCUAAAGCGUCCGUAGCUGGCCGACCAAGUCUCCCGGGAAAUCCACCCGCCCAACGGGUGGGCGUCCGGUAGGAACUGGCCGGCUUGGAACCGGAAGGCUCAGAGAGUACGUCCGGGGUAGGAGUGAAAUCCCGUAAUCCCGCACGGACCACCGAUGGCGAAAGCACUUCGAGAAAACGGAUCCGACAGUGAGGGACGAAAGCUCGGGUCUCAAACCGGAUUAGUUACCCCAGUAGUCC